GGAGGCUGUGCUCCGUGCACUAACACGAUGAAGUGUUGCCCGGAGC
rfam:Aeromonas diversa 2478-85 Contig 7, whole genome shotgun sequence.